ACGGCUGCCCAGAUAGGCCAAAUGAAUGCAGUCAAUAUUGCAAGAAAUCAAAGGGUUACGCACGUGGACGCUGCAGCCUCCUUGUCGUCUGGCUCUGUCUGUGCGAUAUUACACAAGGUAUAACUUCAACAGACGAACAUAACCCAAACACGCCCAACGAAGACGGACACGGCUGCCCACACAUGCCUGAAGAAUGUGACAACUACUGCCGACACAGUCUCGGUUACUCAAACGGAGGAGCAUGCAACGUUUUAGUACCAAAUAUCUGCUUGUGCAAUGUGCAAGGACGUGCAUUAAA